AACGAACGCUGGCGGCAGGCUUAACACAUGCAAGUCGAACGCCCCGCAAGGGGAGUGGCAGACGGGUGAGUAACGCGUGGGAACCUACCCAGUUCUACGGAAUAACCCAGGGAAACUUGGACUAAUACCGUAUACGCCCUACGGGGGAAAGAUUUAUCGGAAUUGGAUGAGCCCGCGUUGGAUUAGCUGGUUGGUGGGGUAAUGGCCUACCAAGGCGACGAUCCAUAGCUGGUCUGAGGGGAUGAUCAGCCACACUGGGACUUAGACACGGCCCAGACUCAUACGGGAGGCAGCAGUGGGGAAUAUUGGACAAUGGGCGCAAGCCUGAUCCAGCCAUGCCGCGUGAGUGAUGAAGGCCUUAGGGUUGUAAAGCUCUUUCAGUGGGGACGAUAAUGACGGUACCCACAGAAGAAGCCCCGGCUAACUUCGUGCCAGCCGCCGCGGUAAUAC
rnacentral:rRNA from 1 species